rnacentral:lncRNA from 1 species
AUUGGAGCCCUCGUACUCAUAAGUUGUUUUCAAUGAUGGAGCUUCCGAAUCGACGAUCCACUCCGUUAAAUAUGAUCUAGAGUAUUUGAAACUUUUAGAAAAUAAAUUUCGUAAAUUUUCGAAAUCAUAAUAAAGUCCAUCAAGUGGGCAUAAAAUGAACGGUCAAAAUCGAACGACGUCCUAAAAAAGGAUGAUCGGAUCCUUCAAUUCAAGAUCGGAGUUAUUAAUCUUUAUCUAUGUAGUGAAUAGAAUUUUCUAUAAAAAAUUCAAUAAAUUUCGAUUCUUUUACACCGUUAAACUAGCAAGUAUCAAAUACCGGCCGUUAAAAAUUUUCAAAUUUGUAACCUCUUGAUCGUAAGAUAAAUGAUGUCGAAAAAUUAUAAAAUUUGAUUUCUAAAAGUUUUAAAUGCCGUAAAUAACGUUUAAUGGUGUGGAUCGUCAAUUCGGAAGCUCUAUCAUCGAAAACAACUUAUGAGUACGAGGGCGAUCGUACUCAUAAUAGUAUAGUAGCCGGAGAGUUUUGCUAGAAUACUAUCGGUAAUAAACGGCUCGGUUUACUACUGAUUUAUUUUCGAUGAUAGAGCUUCCAAAUUAAUGAUCGGCACUGUUAAACAUGAUCUAAAUUAUUUAAACUAUCUGGAAAUCAAAUUUCACAUAUUUUCGAUAUUAUUCUCUUAUCCAUCAAGUAAACAGAAAAAUGAAUGGCUGGAAUUGAAUAUCCUUCAAAAAGUGAUGAUACAAUUUUUAUAUUUGAGAUGUAGAGUCUAGAUCUUAUUUUAAAUAGUCUAAAGAAUUUUCUAACAAAAAUUUAGUUGAUUGAAACUCUUCUAUACCGUUAAAUGAGCAAACGCACUAUAUUGGCCAUUAAAUUAUAGAUUUUGUAACUCUUUGAUCGUUCAGUUAGUGAUGCCAAAAAAUCAUGAAAUUUAAUUUCUAGAUAAUUUAAAUAGUCUAGAUCAUGUUCAACAGUGCCGAUCGUCGAUUUGGAAGCUCUAUUAUCAAAAACAAAUCGGUAGUAAACCAAGCGGUUUACUAUCGAUAGUAGCCCAGUCAAACUCGUAGCUGGACCCUCUAUAUAUAUAUAUUGAUACUUUCAAAUUUUAUAAUUUUAAAUUUUAAAUUUUAUUUAUAAUAUUUAUUUUCAAAUUUUAAACUUCAAAAUUUAAAAUUUUAAAUCUCUAAACUCUAUGAAAUUAAUUAAUUAAUUUUAUUAAUAAUUCAUUAUAUAUAAUAUAAUUAAUUAAUUUAUUAAUAAUACAUAUAAUAAAUUGCGUAAUAAAGUCUAGCCUGAUAGAUGCAAUUUAAAUCACGUAAAAUAUUGUUGCAUAAAAAAAAUACAGUAUUUAAAUUUAGAAGUAAAAUUUUAGAAAUAUAGUGUAUUUCUGUAUAUAUAUAAUUGAUGUUAUUAAACAAUUUCUUUUAUAAUUUUAUUUUUCUUAUAUUUAUUAAUUUUCUUAAAUUAUUUUGUAGAUUUAUCUCAAAUCAUUUUCAUAUAAAUAUUUAUAAAAUAAAUUGUUGUAUAAAUGUACUUUGCGUAUAUUCCAAUUUUAAUGACUUUUAUUUAAAUAGAUUUACCGAUUAAAUUAUUUUUAUAUACCUUNUAUUAAACAAUUUCUUUUAUAAUUUUAUUUUUCUUAUAUUUAUUAAUUUUCUUAAAUUAUUUUGUAGAUUUAUCUCAAAUCAUUUUCAUAUAAAUAUUUAUAAAAUAAAUUGUUGUAUAAAUGUACUUUGCGUAUAUUCCAAUUUUAAUGACUUUUAUUUAAAUAGAUUUACCGAUUAAAUUAUUUUUAUAUACCUUUUAUUUAAUUAAUAAUUAGACUUAUAAAACUAUAUAAAAACGUAAAAAAAAGUAAAAUUUAUUAUAAAAUUAUUUUUAUAUCCGCAGCAUCGCGCGGGUAUUUUACUAGUGUACCAUGAUAACUACGU